rnacentral:tRNA from 1 species
AGCAGCGUGGCUCGGUGGAAAGAGCCUGGGCUAUGGAGUCAGAGGUCAUGGGUUCGACUCCCGACUCUGCCA